rnacentral:rRNA from 1 species
UACGGAGGGGGCUAGCGUUGUUCGGAAUUACUGGGCGUAAAGCGCACGUAGGCGGACUGUUAAGUCGGGGGUGAAAUCCUGGGGCUCAACCUCAGAAUUGCCUCCGAUACUGGCAGUCUCGAGUGCGGGAGAGGUGAGUGGAAUUCCCAGUGUAGAGGUGAAAUUCGUAGAUAUUGGGAAGAACACCAGUGGCGAAGGCGGCUCACUGGCCCGUAACUGACGCUGAGGUGCGAAAGCGUGGGGAGCAAACA